ensembl:lncRNA
NNNNNNNNNNNNNNNNNNNNNNNNNNNNNNNNNNNNNUACACCCGGAUAUGAUUCUGACAGUACUAUGAAGAACAUUGUUUCUGAACAACAUAAAAAAAUGCUUCAGUCAUUAGAAACAGAGGCGGGGACAAUCCAGAAUCAGAAUCAGUAUGCAUUUAAUUUUUUUGGAAGAAAAGACGGCUCGUUUACAGACCCCUCUCAACCGUAUUUCCCGACAAACGAAGGUCACGUUCACAGUGAGGAUUUCAUAAUUGAGGCAAUACAAGAUUAUAUAAAAAAUAAAAGUAUCCGUGAUUACUGUGAGCUGUGGGUCUUCACGCUGAACAGUCCGUGUUUGGGAAGAAAAGAUACUGAUCCCUGUAUGAUUAAAUUAACCAGUUUAUCAGAUGAACUGGGCAGAUUUUAUCAGAUUAAAACUUUCAUCACAUUCUCAAAACCAUACGGCCCAACAGGUUCCAUCGUUAAAAUAUUACCAGAUCACACCUACAGAACCUGUUCCUACAGAACCAUCCAGAACAGUGAUCACCAUCAGGACCCUCCACCAACCAUCCCUGAAACUGAUCAAUCCACUAAAUCCACUAAAUUUAGAAGAAAGAGAUGUGAUUCGUUACCAGCUGAUAUCUCUAAUAAACCCCUGACUUCUCUAACAGUUAAUCAGAACAAUUAUCAGUCUUCUACCAGACUGCACACUGUUGACCUGCCAUCCCACAAACACAAUUGUUUCCAAAAACACUCAAAUACAAAAAUAUGUAAUUCACUCUCUGUUAAUUUUACUAACAAAACACCAAGUCAUUCCUCUAAAAUAACAAAUCCACACAAUUCCACACUUCCGUUUAAGAGGUCCAAUUUUGACCGUUCAUCUAAAACCAGUGAUUUCAACAAGUUACUGGAGUCAGCGAGGGACACACUUCUCACCACAGCCGAUCGUGAAUCUGAAUUCCUCAUAAAACAAUUUUCUAGAUUUAAACUAAAUAAUGUGAUUAACACAGUUAAAGAAAACAUUCCCCAAGAAAAACACAAAAUACUUUAUGCUGUAUUGAAUAAAUGUCGCCCUGAAUUUCCCGAAACUCCACACUCUUUUGAAGAGUUUGAAAGGAUGGGAUUGAAUAGAGCAGAAGAAUAUGAAAAGUCACUGAGAGCUUUAUUCAGUGAGGAGUUUAAUCAGAGAGACUGUAAUUCCAUCUGUGAGACGUUUAAAUCUGAGUUCCUGAGCUGGUGGGCUUCAAAUCUAGAAAAAUCUUACAGCUCAUUUCUAAACACGAGAUUCAGUGAAGCUUAUAAUAGAACAGCUGUUGAGAGGUUCAUUCACAACAUCCAGAACCUUCCAUAUAAACCUACUGUAGUCUGUACUAAUAACAUCACUGAUUCUCAGAGUACAGACUGUACCCAAACCCGGGAGGAGAGACUCGCCUGUGAUCUGUAGUUAUUUUACGAAGCUCGACUUGGAAUUAACGCGACAGUUUUAGCAGAGAGAAAGAGAGGGGAGAGGCGAUAUAUUUCUCCUUUGACGUCGCGAAAAACAAGACAACGUGUAAAAACCGUGUGGAGCGACUCCAUCUCAGGUAAAAACACCACUAAUCUUUCAGCUUCCAUGCAGAGAUCCGUGUUUUAAUACUAACGUUAUUUCAUGAGCUGAUGAUGUGUUUAACUCAACAGUGUACUAAAACACACCACUGAUACAGAUUAACUCACUCAUUAAAAUCAGGGGUGAGUUUCCCGAAAACGAUCAACCUUAGCGAAUAACGAACGAACGUGUGUAAAGAACGAGCCAGUUCUGCGAGUGUUUCCCAAAGAGCUUCACAAAGCAAAAAUUAACAAACGAGAUUAAAGAACGUCUUUGUUGACUCCUCCC